rnacentral:rRNA from 1 species
CCUACGGGGGGCUGCAGUGAGGAAUAUUGGUCAAUGGACGAGAGUCUGAACCAGCCAAGUAGCGUGAAGGAUGACUGCCCUAUGGGUUGUAAACUUCUUUUAUAUGGGAAUAAAACGUUCCACGUGUGGGAUUUUGUAUGUACCAUAUGAAUAAGGAUCGGCUAACUCCGUGCCAGCAGCCGCGGUAAUACGGAGGAUCCGAGCGUUAUCCGGAUUUAUUGGGUUUAAAGGGAGCGUAGGUGGAUUGUUAAGUCAGUUGUGAAAGUUUGCGGCUCAACCGUAAAAUUGCAGUUGAAACUGGCAGUCUUGAGUACAGUAGAGGUGGGCGGAAUUCGUGGUGUAGCGGUGAAAUGCUUAGAGAUCACGAAGAACUCCGAUUGCGAAGGCAGUUCACUGGACUGCAACUGACACUGAGGCUCGAAAGUGUGGGUAUCAAACAGGAUUAGAUACCCCUGUAGUC